CACGGUAAACGAUGGAUGCCCGCUGUUUGCGAUAUACAGUAAGCGGCCAAGCGAAAGCGUUAAGCAUCCCACCUGGGGAGUACGCCGGCAACGGUGAAACUCAAAGGAAUUGACGGGGGCCCGCACAAGCGGAGGAACAUGUGGUUUAAUUCGAUGAUACGCGAGGAACCUUACCCGGGCUUGAACUGCAGCAGAACGAUUCAGAGAUGGUGAGGCCCUUCGGGGCAGCUGUGGAGGUGCUGCAUGGUUGUCGUCAGCUCGUGCCGUGAGGUGUCGGCUUAAGUGCCAUAACGAGCGCAACCCCUGCAGUCAGUUGCCAUCAGGUUAUGCUGGGCACUCUGGCUGGACUGCCACCGUAAGGUGUGAGGAAGGUGGGGAUGACGUCAAAUCAGCACGGCCCUUACGUCCGGGGCUACACACGUGUUACAAUGGGUGGUACAGAGAGUCGGUGCAUGGCAAUGUGCAUCCAAUCCUUAAAGCCAUCCUCAGUUCGGAUUGGGGUCUGCAACCCGACC
rnacentral:rRNA from 1 species